UUCCGGUUGAAUCYGCCGGAGGUCAUUGCUAUUGGAGUCCGAUUUAGCCAUGCUAGUCCGGGGGKUUUAGACCCGCGGCAUWUAGCUCAGUAACACGUGGCCAAACUACCCUAUGGACAGGGACAACCUCGGGAAACUGAGGCUAAUCCCUGAUAUCACUCUCAUGCUGGAGUGCCGAGAGUGAGAAACGCUCCGGCGCCAUAGGAUGUGGCUGCGGCCGAUUAGGUAGAUGGUGGGGUAACGGCCCACCAUGCCCAUAAUCGGUAUAGGUUGUGAGAGCAAGAGCCUAGAGACGGUAUCUGAGACAAGAUACCGGGCCCUACGGGGGGCAGCAGGCGCGAAACCUUUACACUGCACGACAGUGCGAUAAGGGGACUCCGAGUGCGAGGGCAUAUAGUCCUCGCUUUUCUGUACCGUAGGGAGGUACAGGAACAAGUGCUGGGCAAGACCGGUGCCAGCCGCCGCGGUAAUACCGGCAGCACGAGUGAUGACCGAUAUUAUUGGGCCUAAAGCGUCCGUAGCUGGCCAAGCAAGUCCAUUGGGAAAUCCACGCGCUCAACGCGUGGCGUCCGGUGGAAACUGUUUGGCUUGGGGCCAGAAGACCUGAGGGGUACGUCCGGGGUAGGAGUGAAAUCCUGUAAUCCUGGACGGACCACCAAUGGGGAAACCACCUCAGGAGGAUGGACCCGACAGUGAGGGACGAAAGCUAGGGUCUCGAACCGGAUUAGAUACCCGGGUAGUCCUAGUUGUAAACGAUGCUCGCUAGGUGUWCGUAGCUACGAGCCUUGCUGCGCCCUAGGGAAGCCGAGAAWWGAGCCGCCUGGGAAGUACGUCCGCAAGGAUGAAACUUAAAGGAAUUGGCGGGGAGCACCACAACCGGABKAGGG
rnacentral:rRNA from 1 species